rnacentral:piRNA from 1 species
UGUUAAUGUUGAAGGACCAGGAA